UGGCGGCGUGCCUAAUACUAUGCAAGUCGAGCGGACAGAUGGGAGCUUGCUUCCCUGAUGUUAGCGGCGGACGGGUGAGUAACACGUGGGUAACCUGCCUGUAAGACUGGGAUAACUCCGGGAAACCGGGGCUAAUACCGGAUGGUUGUUUGAACCGCAUGGUUCAGACAUAAAAGGUGGCUUCGGCUACCACUUACAGAUGGACCCGCGGCGCAUUAGCUAGUUGGUGAGGUAACGGCUCACCAAGGCGACGAUGCGUAGCCGACCUGAGAGGGUGAUCGGCCACACUGGGACUGAGACACGGCCCAGACUCCUACGGGAGGCAGCAGUAGGGAAUCUUCCGCAAUGGACGAAAGUCUGACGGAGCAACGCCGCGUGAGUGAUGAAGGUUUUCGGAUCGUAAAGCUCUGUUGUUAGGGAAGAACAAGUGCCGUUCAAAUAGGGCGGCACCUUGACGGUACCUAACCAGAAAGCCACGGCUAACUACGUGCCAGCAGCCGCGGUAAUACGUAGGUGGCAAGCGUUGUCCGGAAUUAUUGGGCGUAAAGGGCUCGCAGGCGGUUUCUUAAGUCUGAUGUGAAAGCCCCCGGCUCAACCGGGGAGGGUCAUUGGAAACUGGGGAACUUGAGUGCAGAAGAGGAGAGUGGAAUUCCACGUGUAGCGGUGAAAUGCGU
rnacentral:rRNA from 1 species